rnacentral:rRNA from 1 species
GGGCACGAGUGCGGGCAUCGGGGCCACCUCCCACCCGUGUUGCCCGAACCUAUGUUGCCUCGGCGGGCCCCGCGCCCGCCGACGGCCCCCCUGAACGCUGUCUGAAGUUGCAGUCUGAGACCUAUAACGAAAUUAGUUAAAACUUUCAACAACGGAUCUCUUGGUUCCGGCAUCGAUGAAGAACGCAGCGAAAUGCGAUAACUAAUGUGAAUUGCAGAAUUCAGUGAAUCAUCGAGUCUUUGAACGCACAUUGCGCCCUCUGGUAUUCCGGAGGGCAUGCCUGUCCGAGCGUCAUUGCUGCCCUCAAGCCCGGCUUGUGUGUUGGGCCCCGUCCCCCCCGCCGGGGGGACGGGCCCGAAAGGCAGCGGCGGCACCGCGUCCGGUCCUCGAGCGUAUGGGGCUUCGUCACCCGCUCUAGUAGGCCCGGCCGGCGCCAGCCGACCCCCAACCUUUAAUUAUCUCAGGUUGACCUCGGAUCAGGUAGGGAUACCCGCUGAACUUAAGCAUAUCAAA